rnacentral:rRNA from 1 species
GCAGUCGGACGGCAGUUUUUCUUUCGGGAGAAUGAGAGUGGCGCACGGGUGCGUAACGCGUAUGCAACCUACCCCAUACUGGGGGAUAGCCCGGGGAAACCCGGAUUAAUACCCCAUGGUAUAUAUGGACUGCAUGGUUUAUAUAUUAAAGAUUUAUUGGUAUGGGAUGGGCAUGCGUAGGAUUAGCUAGUUGGCGGGGUAACGGCCCACCAAGGCGACGAUCCUUAGGGGUUCUGAGAGGAAGGUCCCCCACACUGGCACUGAGAUACGGGCCAGACUCCUACGGGAGGCAGCAGUAGGGAAUAUUGGGCAAUGGGCGGAAGCCUGACCCAGCCAUGCCGCGUGCAGGAAGAAUGCCCUCUGGGUUGUAAACUGCUUUUAUCAGGGAAGAAAAGGCCCAUGCGUGGGACAUUGCCGGUACCUGAUGAAUAAGCACCGGCUAACUCCGUGCCAGCAGCCGCGGUAAUACGGAGGGUGCAAGCGUUGUCCGGAUUUAUUGGGUUUAAAGGGUGCGUAGGCUGCGGUUUAAGUCAGCGGUGAAAGUUUGGGGCUCAACCUUAAAAACGCCGAUGAUACUGAACUGCUUGAGUGCCGGUAGGGUACAUGGAAUUUAUGGUGUAGC